rnacentral:rRNA from 1 species
UACGGAGGGAGCUAGCGUUGUUCGGAAUUACUGGGCGUAAAGCGCGCGUAGGCGGCUUUGUAAGUUAGAGGUGAAAGCCCGGAGCUCAACUCCGGAACUGCCUUUAAAACUGCAUCGCUUGAAUCCAGGAGAGGUUGGUGGAAUUCCGAGUGUAGAGGUAGAAAUUCGUAGAUAUUCGGAGGAACACCAGAAGCGAAGGCGGCCAACUGGCCCGAUACUGACGCUGAGGCGACGAAAGCGUGGGGAGCAAACAGG